GCCGCAGUAGCUCAGUGGUAGAGCACACCAUUGGUAAUGGUGAGGUCGGGAGUUCAAUCCUCCCCUGCGGCACCA
rnacentral:tRNA from 4 species